ensembl:lncRNA
CGCUGCCCCGUCUGUUUGUCAGCAGAGCAAACAGACGAGGUCCAAGUUACAGCACUCUCAGUCCAGGUCCUUCAUGAGUCUCCUGGUGAGGACCUUCGUCAAUACUCAGGAGAUCUAUUGAUCCACAGGAAACAUCUGAAGGUCAACGAGUGAAACAUCAAAGUCCUGAAGAUUCAGUUCUUAGCCCUGAUUAUAUUCUUUGAUGAGUCUAUUGAUCAGUCUGAUAGUAAAUACAGUGAAACUGGUCUGAAGCAGGAUAAUUAUGUCAUUCAAUGUGGAUCAAUACAGUUAAAGUACUAAUGCUACCUGACGCUGGACAGUGGGAGCUUCCUAACACAUCCUGAGGUGUAACUCUGACUUUGUGGCCCCCCUUGAACGCC